CGAGUAACCUGCCCUGGACUUUGGGAUAACCCUCGGAAACGGGGGCUAAUACCGGAUAUGACGGCUCACCGCAUGGUGUGGUUGUGGAAAGUUUUUCGGUCUGGGAUGGGCUCGCGGCCUAUCAGCUUGUUGGUGGGGUGAUGGCCUACCAAGGCGACGACGGGUAGCCGGCCUGAGAGGGCGACCGGUCACACUGGGACUGAGACACGGCCCAGACUCCUACGGGAGGCA
rnacentral:rRNA from 1 species